UAAUACGUAGGUGGCGAGCGUUGUCCGGAAUUACUGGGCGUAAAGGGCGUGCAGGCGGUUUUUUAAGUCAGAUGUGAAACCCCGGGGCUUAACUUCGGGAUUGCAUUUGAAACUGAAGGGCUUGAGUGCAGGAGAGGUAAGUGGAAUUCCUAGUGUAGCGGUGAAAUGCGUAGAUAUUAGGAGGAACACCAGUGGCGAAGGCGACUUACUGGACUGUAACUGACGCUGAGGCGCGAAAGCGUGGGGAGCAAACAGG
rnacentral:rRNA from 1 species